UCCCAGACUCCUACGGGAGGCAGCAGUGGGGGAUAUUGCACAAUGGGGGAAACCCUGAUGCAGCGACGCCGCGUGGGUGAAGAAGCGCCUCGGCGCGUAAAGCCCUGUCAGCAGGGAAGAAAAUGACGGUACCUGAAGAAGAAGCCCCGGCUAACUACGUGCCAGCAGCCGCGGUAAUACGUAGGGGGCAAGCGUUAUCCGGAUUCACUGGGUGUAAAGGGAGCGCAGGCGGUACGGCGAGUCUGAUGUGAAAACCCGGGGCCCAACCCCGGGACCGCACCGGAUACUGCCGGACUCGAGUGCCGGAGGGGCAGGCGGAAUUCCUGGUGUAGCGGUGAAAUGCGCAGAUAUCAGGAGGAACACCGGUGGCGAAGGCGGCCUGCUGGACGGUAACUGACGCUGAGGCUCGAAAGCGUGGGGAGCGAACAGGAUUAGAUACCCGUGUACUA
rnacentral:rRNA from 1 species